UUUGAAUAUUGCCUUUUGGCUAAGAUCAAGUGUAGUAUCUGUUCUUCUCAGUUUAAUAUCUGGAACUACUGUCAAGUGGUUCAGCAUUGGGUCCACUGUUGGUAUUGCAGUGGGCAAGAUCCUCCUGCCUGCUGCCUCUCCCAUUUUGCCCUUGAUUCAGUGACAGUUUAAUUGUCCUGUGGCACACAUUU